rnacentral:rRNA from 1 species
CCUACGGGUGGCAGCAGUCGAGAAUCAUUCACAAUGGGGGAAACCCUGAUGGUGCGACGCCGCGUGGGGGAAUGAAGGUCUUCGGAUUGUAAACCCCUGUCAUGUGGGAGCAAAUUAAAAAGAUAGUACCACAAGAGGAAGAGACGGCUAACUCUGUGCCAGCAGCCGCGGUAAUACAGAGGUCUCAAGCGUUGUUCGGAAUCACUGGGCGUAAAGCGUGCGUAGGCUGUUUCGUAAGUCGUGUGUGAAAGGCGCGGGCUCAACCCGCGGACGGCACCGGAUACUGCGAGACUAGAGUGAUGGAGGGGGAACCGGAAUUCUCGGUGUAGCAGUGAAAUGCGUAGAUAUCGAGAGGAACACUCGUGGCGAAGGCGGGUUCCUGGACAUUAACUGACGCUGAGGCACGAAGGCCAGGGGAGCGAAAGGGAUUAGAUACCCCAGUAGUC